GAUGAACGCUGGCGGCGUGCUUAACACAUGCGAGUCGAACGGAAAGGCCAGUGCUUGCACUGGUACUCGAGUGGCGAACGGGUGAGUAACACGUGGGUGAUCUGCCCUGUACUUCGGGAUAAGUUUGGGAAACUGGGUCUAAUACCGGAUAGGACAACUUUUUGGAUAUUGUUGUGGAAAGCUUUUGCGGUAUGGGAUGAGCUCGCGGCCUAUCAGCUUGUUGGUGGGGUAAUGGCCUACCAAGGCGUCGACGGGUAGCCGGCCUGAGAGGGUGUACUGCCACAUGGGGACUGAGAUACGGCCCAGACUCCUACGGGAGGCAGCAGUGGGGAAUAUUGCACAAUGGGCGCAAGCCUGAUGCAGCGACGCCGCGUGGGGGAUGAAGGCCUUCGGGUUGUAAACUCCUUUCGCUAGGGACGAAGCGUUUUUGUGACGGUACCUGGUGAAGAAGCACCGGCUAACUACGUG
rnacentral:rRNA from 1 species